AAGGGAAGAGGAUGAGGAGGAAGUUGUGGCCAUCAGGGCUGGUCAGGAGCUGCAGACACAGUGUCUGGGCUUGUGUCCGGCUGUGUCUGCACCCCAGUACUGUCGGUACCAGAGCUGCUCGGCUCUGGAGCAUCCGUUCCAUUGCCGCAUCCAUUGGCUGUCUGGGGUGCUUGGGAGGGCGCUUCUGGCUUCCCUCACCCUGGGCUUUCCGAGGGUGUGGCGAGGAGGGGGAUUACUGCAGGUGUGAGACACUGGGUUUGAUGCCUGCACCUGUUCAAUUGGCAGCUGAGGCGAAGGGCUGCGUUUUGAUUGUACAUUUGGCAUCUCAGUGCCACGAGGACAGGCCGGGAUGCUGCAGUUCCAGCUCAGAAGUUUCCCACCUUUCCCUGUUAGGCAUUUCUAGUAGGACUUUUUUCCUACAGUGUGGGUUAAUCGCAGUAGCGGCAGAUAAGGUUUUGUUUAAAUUGAAAAGGGCCUCUUGGUGCGCUUGAGCUGGGAACUCAGUCAGGUGUGGAUUAAAGACUGCUUUGAGUACUGACCAUAAGGUGAGUUGGAAGCUUCGUGGAUUUCUCUUUCCUCACAGAGCCUUCAGCUACACCUGAGCCCGAGGUCUCUGUGCCAUCGAGAAGUCAAGGUUACACGUGGAUCUUGAUUGUUGCAGGGCUCCUGAUCAUCCUGAUAGCUGCAGGUUCUGUUGCUGUGUGGGGUCUGUCCAAAGCAAAGUGCAGAUCUAACACCUCCAGUCUUGAAAAAGCAUCCAGGGAACAGCUGAUGCCUGGGAGCCAGAAAGGCUCCUUGCCCUGAAGGGGAUCGUUAUCCAAAGGUGAUAAGGUGGGACUAGCCUUGUCUGUCUCCUGCUCACCACAGAGCCUGACUGAACUGGGCAUCAGCUCUCAAUUCUGCGCUGUAACACUGGAAUACCAAGAGAAUGCUCCCUUUGUAAAUGGGUCUUGGAUUGUGGGACUACCUUGGCUCCAGAAAUAGCACAGGACCUUCCCUGGCACGGUGACAUCAGCACUCCCAAAGGUGAUAGAAAUGUCUUCGUUGUUCUGCAUGACAGUCAUUACUGCUGAUGCCCACUAGUGUGGCCUCAGACCCAAAGAUGCUUUUCUCCUUGAAAUGCCAGGUGUUGUUCAACUGUCUCCUUCCACUUCCAGCCAAGAGCCUUUUUACAUCUGCCCCAUUCUUUUCCCUCGAUUUUUCAGGGAAUAGGAGCUUUCUCACCUAUUUCCAUAGGCACUCACUGGCUGCACAGAUCAGACAAAUACUCCACGCCCUCACUAUGUUUGAUGCUGCUCCAUCCCAUCCAUGCGAUGCUUUUACUGACACUGCCACCGUAGGGGUGACAACAGUUUUGCUGUGCAAAGCAAAAGCCCACGUGGGGCAAAGA